GACGAACGCUGGCGGCGUGCUUAACACAUGCAAGUCGAACGCUGAAGCUUGGUGCUUGCACUGGGUGGAUGAGUGGCGAACGGGUGAGUAAUACGUGAGUAACCUGCCCUUGACUCUGGGAUAAGCCUGGGAAACUGGGUCCAAUACUGGAUACGACAUGUCACCGCAUGGUGGUGUGUGGAAAGGGUUUUACUGGUUUUGGAUGGGCUCACGGCCUAUCAGCUUGUUGGUGGGGUAAUGGCUCACCAAGGCGACGACGGGUAGCCGGCCUGAGAGGGUGACCGGCCACACUGGGACUGAGACACGGCCCAGACUCCUACGGGAGGCAGCAGUGAGGAAUAUUGCACAAUGGGCGGAAGCCUGAUGCAGCGACGCCGCGUGAGGGAUGACGGCCUUCGGGUUGUAAACCUCUUUCAGCACGGAAGAAGCGAAAGUGACGGUACGUGCAGAAGAAGCGCCGGCUAACUACGUG
rnacentral:rRNA from 1 species